UAGGGAAUCUUCCGCAAUGGCCGCAAGUCUGACGGAGCAACGCCGCGUGAGUGAAGAAGGAUUUCGGUUCGUAAAACUCUGUUGUUAGAGAAGAACAGCGCAUAGAGUAACUGUUAUGCGUGUGACGGUAUCUAACCAGAAAGCCACGGCUAACUACGUGCCAGCAGCCGCGGUAAUACGUAGGUGGCAAGCGUUGUCCGGAUUUAUUGGGCGUAAAGCGAGCGCAGGCGGUCAAUUAAGUCUGAUGUGAAAGCCCCCGGCUCAACCGGGGAGGGUCAUUGGAAACUGGGUUACUGGAGUGCAGAAGAGGAGAGUGGAAUUCCAUGUGUAGCGGUGAAAUGCGUAGAUAGAUGGAGGAACACCAGUGGCGAAGGCGACUCUCUGGUCUGUAACUGACGCUGAGGUUCGAAAGCGUGGGUAGCAAACAUG
rnacentral:rRNA from 1 species